rnacentral:rRNA from 1 species
GCAAGGGGAGCGGCAGACGGGAGAGUAACACGUGGGAACGUACCCUUUGGUUCGGAACAACCCAGGGAAACCUGGACUAUUACAGGAUAAGCCCUUACGGGGAAAGAUUUAUCGCCGAAGGAUCGGCCCGCGUCUGAUUAGCUAGUUGGUGGGGUAAUGGCCCACCAAGGCUACGAUCAGUAGCUGGUCUGAGAGGAUGAUCAGCCUCACUGGGACUGAGACACGGCCCAGACUCCUACGGGAGGCAGCAGUGGGGAAUAUUGGACAAUGGGCGCAAGCCUGAUCCAGCCAUGCCGCGUGGGUGAUGAAGGCCCUAGGG